GCCGUCAUAGCUCAGUUGGUAGAGCGAAUCCUUGGUAAGGAUUAGGUCGCAGGUUCGAUUCCUGCUUUCGGCACCA
rnacentral:tRNA from 1 species